AUUAUCAAUACUUGAGAAGAGUGAAGUGUCCGCAGGCAUUAAUCAUUCAAAGACAUAUGGUGCAAUAGAUGAUUUCCAGUUACUACAUUCACUUUUCACAAAGAAAUUAUCAUAAUCCCUCCCCUAAAGUGAUGUGUCAUUAAAUAUGUGAAAUGAAUAGCAUGCUAAACCGUCAAGUACGACCUGAAGAAGUGAAAACACACACAUGGAAUCCCCCUCUAGCAGCACAAUCACCCUUCACCUAUGGUGGUACAAAAGGAUCUAAGCUAUGUAGAUACCAAAAGGUGGCGUUGAGGAAGAUAGUAGAACAAUUCAAUCUAUUUGAACGGAGAGUAGUACCACUUGAGGUGGUAGGAGGAGAUGAGGAAGGGAGGGAUUUUGAGUUGGAGCAGCACAUGCCCCUCCUUAGGGUAUGGAAGGUAUUUUUAUGAGUUUGACCUAUUUAGACCAUGUGUCACCUCUUGAUAAGCUUGCUAGUAAGUGAUGGUUAUUUUGUCAAGAUUUGAUUUCUCAAGUCCCGACGAAACAAUGCUUGUGGCCAAAGAGGUGUAGCCGGGGAAACUAAUUAGGCGGAGCCAUCAUCCUAGAAUUUGCUAAGACAAUUCUAGCUGUGUUGAUACCAAAAGGUGACAUGGAGGAACAUGUGGUGGAUAUUGAGGACAAUUCAUCCUGUUUGGGCGGAUAGCCGUACCACUUGGGGUCAUAGUACGAUGGGACUUUGAGUUGGAGCUGAUGAGCAAGUCUCCUCUUUGGGAGUGAAGAAUAUGUUUUUAUGGGUGAACACCUCUUGAUAGAGCCUACUAGUCACUUUCAUGGUACCUUCGUUAGGUCAGUAGUGUAGAACAUGCUCGUAACAAGUAAUAGUUGUCUUGUCAAAAGUGGUUUGAUUUAUCAUGUCCUAACAAAACAAUGUUUGUGUCCCGAAGAGAGGAAGAAGGGGGAACUAGAGGGGUGUAGCCACCAUCCCAUUGUAACAAGCUCAUUUCAAGCUUGUUUCACCAGAAAAAAAUCUCAUGAUAUGCUUAUGAUGUCAAUUGGACCAUUAUAGGCUAGCAUAUUUGUUUUUCAUCUCAUUUGAGUAAUAAUCGACACUAAGGAAAUGGACACAUCAAAGUAAUAUUUAUGAUGGAAUUAAUUAUGAAUGUCGCUGCAUCAUAGAAAAACAAUGAAACACAAAGAGAGAGGCAUUAACUAACAUUUUCUUCUGUGCAUAUUUAUGUAACAGAGAUUCAUCAUGAGCUUCUAUAUGUAUCAGAUGCAUGCAUUUUAUUAUUUGAUUAAUAUAUGCUCUCAAUCCUAAUACUCUUCAUACAUUUAAAAUAAAAAAAAAUGAGUAACUCUAAUUCAUGUGCAUGAUAAUUAGGGACAGUAAAGAUUCAUUCUCACAUAUAAUUACACAAAAGCUACCAAUAUAAUAUCAUAUUUAAGUUUUUUAUGAUUCUCCUACUGGAAUAUUUUAUUUCGAGUUAAGAGAAUAAAGUCAAUUUUCUAAACAGUAAAUUGAUCCAGGGAUUUUUUAGGUAGUUUCACCAUUUAUAAUCACACAAAGGCUACCAAGAUA
rnacentral:lncRNA from 1 species